rnacentral:rRNA from 1 species
GAUGAACGCUGGUGGCGUGCCUAAUACAUGCAAGUCGAGCGAACGGACGAGAAGCUUGCUUCUCUGAUGUUAGCGGCGGACGGGUGAGUAACACGUGGAUAACCUACCUAUAAGACUGGGAUAACUUCGGGAAACCGGAGCUAAUACCGGAUAAUAUUUUGAACCGCAUGGUUCAAAAGUGAAAGACGGUCUUGCUGUCACUUAUAGAUGGAUCCGCGCUGCAUUAGCUAGUUGGUAAGGUAACGGCUUACCAAGGCAACGAUGCAUAGCCGACCUGAGAGGGUGAUCGGCCACACUGGAACUGAGACACGGUCCAGACUCCUACGGGAGGCAGCAGUAGGGAAUCUUCCGCAAUGGGCGAAAGCCUGACGGAGCAACGCCGCGUGAGUGAUGAAGGUCUUCGGAUCGUAAAACUCUGUUAUUAGGGAAGAACAUAUGUGUAAGUAACUGUGCACAUCUUGACGGUACCCAAUCAGAAAGCCACGGCUAACUACGUG